ensembl:lincRNA
GAGUUAGAAGCAACAGCCAUGCAGACUGGGGCUGAGUGUCUGGCAGAAGUAGUGGGCCAACACACCUCAGUGCUGUGGUGAGGCAAACGCUGGUUCAGUGGUCUCCAGAAGUAGCCAGGGCACACAGGCCCAGGAGUGGUCAGUCAGUCAGUCCAUCCGAGCCCUUUGAGCAGAGAUGUAGUCAAGCAGCUGGCAAAGAUGAAAUUGGUCAGUCAGGUGCAGGCGCCACAGCCAGACAGAUACAGCUUGUCAGACACAGAUGGGGUCUGGUCGGUCAGGUUCAGUUAGACCGCCUGAAUCAGAUACACCCUGUCAGGCCCAGAUGUCCGUCAGCCAGGUAAACGCAGUCAACUGUGGUUAGGUGGACAGAUCUGGCAGUCUUGGUCUGUCAGGCACCCAUGAAAUCUGUGUGCCGUCACACAAAGGCAGACACACUCGAAUUAUCAGGCAGUGUUGGCGUCUGUAGCCUUCAGACACCGUGGGGUGGUCAGAUGUAGGCGGUCUGGCACGGAAGAAACCAGUCAGCCGCAGGCGUUGCCAUGGCAGCCGUGGACCAGAUCCCUGCCUGCCUGCCUGCUUGCCUGCUUACUGUCUGCUUACGGGUCCCUGAGCCCUCUGCUUUUCCGCACCGGCCCAGCCCCCGAUCCUCCUUCCUGGUCCGGGCAACCAGCGACUUCGGACGGCUCUCUCCUCUCUUCCUUUCUGGAAGAGCCCCAAGAUGAGGAUGAUGGAGAAUGACUCACUCAUGUAAGGAAACACGGCAAGACGGACAGAGACCCACAACUUCAGGGUCCUCAGGUUCUCAUCGUGACCCUGCAUCAGCCUUCAGGGACAAUCACAUUUAUCUGGAUAGACAGGGUGUAUCCAGUAGAGAGAACAGCCCACGCCAUGAUUUCCUGUUUGUUCCUCAUAUUUGGAGCCCACUUGUUAGCUGAAAGCCUACUGGAUUGAACUUGGGUUUAUAUCACCUCUACAACCAAAGGGUGCACCAUAUUACCUGACAUGGAGCAGAUACUUAGGAGAUGUCAGCUGAAUAAAACAGAAGUUCAGCUUUUCAUGGUGCUUCUUAUAUGACAUUACCAUCACAGGUACCAAAUAGACUUACUGGCUUCAACAGUUGGAAGUUCCUAUUAUGGCUGAUCAAACCAGAGAUCAGUCAGAUGCAGUACCAAUCAUCCCCAAUCAGGUUAGUGGAAUAGCAUAGGGUUCUUAUUCUCACCUUGGACAUGAGGUUUAUGAGACACUGGCCUCCAGAUGUGGGAAUAUAGUAUGUCUGGGUGCUGUUGGUGUAAUCUGCAUGGACUGGAAACCCAAGGACAGGCAGAAGGGCCUCUUGUAGGUGCCUUCUCAGCUGAACAUCAGGCCAGGGCCUGGUCCUUUUGUGCUAAUUCCCUGUGAGACAGGUAUUUGGUAGCUGAGGUGAGUUUCAGAGAGUCACGUAUUUUUCAAAUCUGGCUUAGGGAAAAAGAAGCAGGUGUUCUCCCAGCUCCAUACUUUAUGCCAGGCCAUGACUGGUUUUCAGGUACUAUAUCUACCACCGCUAGAGAUAAAAGCUGAAGCAGGUCCUUUUCUGUAAUUUAAGGUGGAUUCACCCAGAAAAGUCCAGGAAGUCAAGGCUCAGAAAGAGCUAAGAGACAAGGGCAGCACUCAGCAAAGCAGUUUUGGAGCCCCAGGGCAAAGCUAAAGAAAGUGUAGUCGAGGGCCCAGAAUUUAGCUCAGUGGUCCUACAGCCUGCCUCGCAAGCGUAAAAGUCCUGAGUUCGAUCCCCAGUACCCGCAAAAAGAGCAGUAAUGGAGGGCCAGGCCUACUAAGAUCAUGCCUCAAUUUGCACUAUGUACUGGCGUGGAAAAUGCACAGGACAAGACAUCAGAUGCCCCAGCUCUAAGUUCUGCCCACUGGCUAGAGACUUUGGCCAUCUGAGCUUGUCUAAGCCUCUGUUUCCUCAUCUAUAAAAUAAGGGGUUUGUUCUACUGGCUGGUUGAUGAAGUCUGCCUCUUCAGAUGUGGGAUUUUCAAAGCUGUAAGUUUGAUCAGUGGCAAAGCCAGGGCCAGAAGCUUCUAAGGAACCUCUGCUAAAAGGAACCGUAGUCUUGGAGAAAUUAGUAAUUCCAGGACUGCAGCUUAAAUACAAAAUUAUCCUGGAAUAUCUUGUGCAGGAAGGAAGGGAGUACACAAAGGAGGAUGGGGAUAUGUCAAAAGGACACAGAAGCCAGUUUAAAGUGGCUCCCACUUGCCAAAUCUAUGACAAUUUGAACAUCAAAAUAUAGAAAUAUUUGUAUGAUAAUACAGAUUAGAACACAAUGAAUAAAACAGGAAGCCAUAAUAAUGAAUGAAUAAAUAAAAAGUUUGAUGAGGUAUUUACAAAGUUUCAAACUAUCUCAUCACAAAAUACUAAAGGACAAAAUUAACAGAAUGAAAAGAUAACAUAAGAUAGAA